UAGUUUGCGCAGUGGCAGUAUCAUAGCCAAUGAGGUUUAUCUGAGGUGUGAUUAUUGCUAAUUGAAAACUAAUCCCAUAUUAGUUUGAUGUCCAGAGGUAGCCCCUUGGUGAAAAACACCUGUAAAAUGUUCAAGAGAAG